rnacentral:rRNA from 1 species
GCUCAGAUUGAACGCUGGCGGCAUGCCUAACACAUGCAAGUCGAACGGCAGCACAGCAGUAGCAAUACUGUGGGUGGCGAGUGGCGGACGGGUGAGUAAUGCAUCGGGACCUGCCCAGACGUGGGGGAUAACGUAGGGAAACUUACGCUAAUACCGCAUACGUCCUACGGGAGAAAGCGGGGGAUCGAAAGACCUCGCGCGGUUGGAUGGACCGAUGUUCGAUUAGCUUGUUGGUGAGGUAAUGGCUCACCAAGGCGACGAUCGAUAGCUGGUCUGAGAGGAUGAUCAGCCACACUGGGACUGAGACACGGCCCAGACUCCUACGGGAGGCAGCAGUGGGGAAUAUUGGACAAUGGGCGAAAGCCUGAUCCAGCAAUGCCGCGUGUGUGAAGAAGGCCUUCGGGUUGUAAAGCACUUUUAUCAGGAGCGAAAUACUGUCGAUUAAUACUCGGCGGGGCUG